AUGCAAAACCGCAGAGUGCAGGUCAGGAGGGGCCUGCAGGAGAGAAGGGAGAGACGUGAGGGGGGUCUCCUGAGAGGAAGCCGAGGGGUUCGGGGCGGGGGGCAGCCGGCGGGGAGCACGCGUUCCCUGCCGUGCACCAGUGAACCUGCCGGUCAACUCGCCACCCGGGAUUUGUCUACUUGCUCGUUUGACAAACACGUAUUAAGCCUCUACUGUGUUCCAGAUUUUGUGCCGGGCACUGGGAUCACAGGUGUGAGCAAGAGAGUGCACAUGUUCCCCCCUCUCACCAGAGUUCACAGGAUGUUGGAAACGGGAUUAUAUCUGAAAAUGCAAACGUACCACGCGUAUUCCUGGAUGUCUUCUCUGCUGUGCAGUGAGCUUCCCUGUUCCAAGCUUAUCCUACUCGUAACCUUGCAGUGUCUGCGGCACAAAGUGGGUGAGCAGGAAGCUGCGCAGUUGGAGCAAACACCGGGAGCCGGGGCCACACAGCCGGGCCCCCCAACCCUGGCCUCAUCCCUGAGGCAACGAGCCCCCAGCCAGAGAGGCGGGGCCACGCUGCAGGUGCUGUGCAGACACUGGAGUAGCCACGAAGGAGGUGCUGCCUGCCGGGCUGCUGGCUGCUGCCCUGACCCUGCCUGCCUUCCCGAGCCUCGGGCCCAGAUCCCGUGGCCGGCUGGUUCACUUGGGGGGGAAGGGGCUGCACUCCUGGAAGCGCCCCACAUCCUGCGGCCCGUCGGGCUGGGUGAGAAUGAGGACUGCUCCACACGACCCGCUUCUCCCUUUUGGCAAAGCAGCUGCAGAUCUGCCCGAUGGGGGCACCCUCUGAGGGAGGCUGGCGCGCUUCUGGUGCCCUCCUGCGCCUGGGGCACAACAAAGCCUGACCCCCUCCGCCGCCCAGAUGAUGUCCUCCUUCGCCCGAGGCAGCAGCCCGUCUCUAGUGCUCCCCUUCCCCUCGGGCCUGGAGAAAGGAGCCUGUGGCUACCUGGAGACUGGUCUGUACCUGACCACGGCCCCUACUGGUUGGUGUUGCCCUGCAGGGCCUUGGGGUGGAGCAGGCCCUCUGCAGACCUAAAACCCUGUCCGAACCCUUUGGGGGGCACCGGGACGGUCCUCUCUGCCGGGUGCCAGUCUCAUUCAGGGCUUCUCCUGAGAUGCCUCUUACCACCCCUACCCUCUGCCUCAGGCUGUCCUCAGAGGCCCUCUGAAGGCCCCUUCAACGGGUCACCUGGGGGGGGUCAGCGCUUGAGCUUCUGCCUUUGGCUCAGGCCAUGA
rnacentral:lncRNA from 1 species